rnacentral:rRNA from 1 species
UACAGAGGUCUCAAGCGUUGUUCGGAUUCAUUGGGCGUAAAGGGUGCGUAGGUGGCGCUGUAAGUCGGGUGUGAAAUUUCGGAGCUUAACUCCGAAACUGCAUUCAAUACUGCGGUGCUUGAGGACUGGAGAGGAGACUGGAAUUCAUGGUGUAGCAGUGAAAUGCGUAGAGAUCAUGAGGAAGACCAGUGGCGAAGGCGGGUCUCUGGACAGUUCCUGACACUGAGGCACGAAGGCCAGGGGAGCAAACGGGG